rnacentral:rRNA from 1 species
CAGUAGCCGCGGGAAUACAGAGGGUGCGAGCGUUAAUCGGAUUUACUGGGCGUAAAGCGUGCGUAGGCGGCUUCUUAAGUCGGAUGUGAAAUCCCUGAGCUUAACUUAGGAAUUGCAUUCGAUACUGGGAAGCUAGAGUAUGGGAGAGGAUGGUAGAAUUCCAGGUGUAGCGGUGAAAUGCGUAGAGAUCUGGAGGAAUACCGAUGGCGAAGGCAGCCAUCUGGCCUAAUACUGACGCUGAGGUACGAAAGCAUGGGGAGCAAACAGGAUUAGAUACCCCAGUAGUCCCUGUCUCUUAUAU